AAGUCGUAACAAGGUUUCCGUAGGUGAACCUGCGGAAGGAUCAUUAACACGUAUCUUGUGUCGGGAUUGAUGGUCGGUGUAUAUUGACCCAUCCGUGCACCUUCAAUAUCGCUUCGUGACCCAUCUUGUGUCGGGAUUGAUGGUCGGGAAAAACAGGGAUCUAGGGAGUUGGUUGUCGGGGGAGAACCUCGCGAAAUGGUUUGGCACGCCGAGAGAGGCCGGGACCACGCCUGGUUGCGAUGUAGACGUGGUCUCAACUUGUUUAGUACGUUUUGUCCUCUACCCGCACCGCUUGCCGCCACGAUUUGGAUCUUGUCGCACCUGUUUUCUUCUAACCACCGCUCGGGGGCCUGAGAACCUCCAGAGCUGGAAUACCCGAACAACUGUUAACAAUGGAUAUCUUGCUCUC
rnacentral:misc_RNA from 1 species